rnacentral:tRNA from 2 species
GGCUCUUUGGCACAGUGGUAGCGCGGCAGACUUCGGUCUCCGAAGGAUAACCCACUGAAUGUGGUUGCAUUCUGCAGGUCGCGGGUUCGAUCCCCGUAGGAGUCU